UAAACUGCUUUUAUAAGUGAAGAAUAUGACGGUAACUUAUGAAUAAGCACCGGCUAACUACGUGCCAGCAGCCGCGGUCAUACGUAGGGUGCAAGCAUUAUCCGGAGUGACUGGGCGUAAAGAGUUGCGUAGGUGGUUUGUUAAGCGAAUAGUGAAAUCUGGGGGCUCAACCUCACAGACUAUUAUUCGAACUGGGAGACUCGAGAAUGGUAGAGGUAACUGGAAUUUCUUGUGUAGGAGUGAAAUCCGUAGAUAUAAGAAGGAACACCAAUGGCGUAGGCAGGUUACUGGACCAUUUCUGACACUGAGGCACGAAAGCGUGGGGAGCGAACGGGAUUAGAUACCCCGGUAGUCCACGCCGUAAACGAUGGAUACUAGCUGUUGGAGGUAUCGACCCCUCCAGUAGCGAAGCUAACGCGUUAAGUAUCCCGCCUGUGGAGUACGGUCGCAAGACUAAAACAUAAAGGAAUUGACGGGGACCCGCACAAGCGGUGGAUCAUGUUCUUUAAUUCGAUGAUAAACGAUGAACCUUACCAGGGCUUGAAAUCCCGAGAAUUAAUCCGAAAGGAUUGAGUGCUUUAUUGAACUCGGUGACAGGUGUUGCAUGGCCGUCGUCAGCUCGUGUCGUGAGAUGUUUGGUUAAGUCCAUUAACGAGCGCAACCCUUAUCAAUAGUUGGAUUUUUCUAUUGAGACUGCCCCGGCAACGGGGAGGAAGGAGGGGAUGAUGUCAGGUCAGUAUUACCCUUACGUCCUGGGCUAGAAACGUGAUACAAUGGCCGGUACAAUGCGCAGCGAAGCCGCGAGGUGAAGCAAAUCGCAUCAAAACCGGUCCCAGUUCGGAUUGGAGGCUGAAACUCGCCUCCAUGAAGUCGGAAUCG
rnacentral:rRNA from 1 species